GCAGGAUUGAACUGACAUGAGGGAAAGUACAUUUUUGGUUGAACUGAAGUUUUUUACAUUUCUUUUCCAGUGGAAGUCCAGACAAUAUAGGCCUAUAUUAUACAUUUCUAUCUGGGCACCAAUAAUACUUUGGAAAAGAAAAGAAAAGAAAAGAAACAGAAUAUUCAGACCUCUAAGCUAAAGAACAGUGGCUAUUGAGAAUUUCUCUAGAAAAUGAUAAUAACAAUAAUAAUAAUUCAUCAGUUGAUUAAAAAAAAGUCCAUAAUUGGUUUUCAUGUCGACCAUACAGAAUUGACGGAGGAUGCGGAUGUCAUGGUGGACACAGUGGAAGAUUGGGCACAAGAAUCAUGACUGGAGCGUGUUAUGGAAGGGAUUAUGAUCACUUCCAGAGGAGCGAGAAGGCCACCGUGCAAGACCUGAAUGACCGGCUGAUAUCCUACUUAGAUAAGGUGAAGUUUCUGGAGGAUGCUGAUGCUACUCUGGAGGGACUGUUAUACCUGAAAAUCAUUGACUGCCUUCAGGAUAAGGUACAAAACAGAAGAUUAGAGACAAUCAAGGCAAUUAAGACAAUUUUAAAAUGCAUAGCAAAAAUGAUGUGAGAUUCUAAUAAAUGUGACAUUCAGAUUUUUGCUCUUUACCUUACAGUGAACAAAAUACAAUAAUAUAUAUAUAUAGCUAGAUUGAGUAUCAGCGCUGAUGCUGCAGCUCUCGUCGGGUGCAGUGGCGCGCGCCUGUAAUCCAAGCUGCUGGGAGACUGAGGCUGGCGGAUCGCUUGAGUUCAGGGGUUCUGGGCUGCAGUGGACUAUGUUGAUCAGGAGCACCAUAUCGAUACCGAACUUAGUGUGGACACCUGAUCAACAUAGUCCACUGCAGCCCAGAACCCCUGAACUCAAGCGAUCCACCAGCCUCAGUCUCCCAGCAGCUUGGAUUACAGGCGCGCGCCACUGCACCCGACGAGAGCUGCAGCAUCAGCGCUGAUACUCAAUCUAGCUAUAUAUAUAUAUAUAUAUAGUAUUGUAUUUUGUUCACUGUAAGGUAAAGAGCAAAAAUCUGAAUGUCACAUUUAUUAGAAUCUCACAUCAUUUUUGCUAUGCAUUUUAAAA
rnacentral:lncRNA from 1 species